rnacentral:sRNA from 1 species
AGCACUAGGGAAGAAGGAGUAUUCGUAUAAAUUUGUCCUAGCAUAUGGGACGAGGAAUGUGCCUUGAACUUGAACUAAAUUGUACAUACUAUUUGAUGAAUUAAAUAGGUUGUGAAAAGUAUGUAGAGUUUUGGAAUUCAAUAAAAAAAAAUAUAAGUAAAUAUGAAAAAGCAUUGUAAAAGAUAUUGGUCAAGAAAAAAGAGAAUACAAAAUAUUUAUUUAUUUAUUUAAAAUGUACAAGUUAAUGUUUGAAAAAAAAAAUAUUUUAAAUCACAAACAACAUUCACAAAACAUUUGAAACUUGAUUGUUAAAAGUAAUCACAAAAGAAGCUUCAAGUCAAGCCACAACACUUUAUUUACAUUAUCACAUGCAACGUUUUAGCAACACUUCAAGAGGAAAUUGUGAAUGUAAUUAACAAUCAACUAGUGAACCACACAAGAAUCAAGGCAAAAUAAAAACAUCAAUAUUACAGUCAUAAAACUUGUAAAAACAUUUAUUGAGACCUUUCAUAUUUUACCAUAUAAAGAUUCAGAAAAAGUCUAUGGGCUACUUGUAUGGAAAACUAGCCAUGGGCCCAAGAAAAACUGGUAGCCUCCACCUCCAGUUCAUAGGUGUAAUCAAAAUGGGAUCUCAAUGAGGUGGACAUCAAAGCUGACCACAGGGAAGACCUAACCUUGGACACUACUAUCUGGAAAGAAGUUGUGACAAGGAACAGUAUGGACAACAAGGUUGUGAUGACCUCAGCCCUGAGAGAUAAACAAGUCAAACAAAAUAUGACUGGCUCCUCUAGCACUUAAACAGGCGCCGCUUUUACAUGUAAUCUAUGAAAGAGGUAAUGUUUCCCCAGAAUUGGGCUCUACAGUUACAAGAGGAAGUGCUCUAAACCAUAGUCUUCAACACUGAAGGUGGCAAGUGUAUAUAUGUCUCUAUGCUAACAAGCAGGGUCCACAUAGACAAGCUUUUUAUUAACAAAAUAGCCCACUAGAAUUACAUUUACAAACAUUUGAGAGCAGCAGUGUAUACAUGUUUGUAAGGAUACAUUUUUUCUUUAAUGUUACUUAUGUUGAAGCCAUGUUUACAUGGAAGAACAACACUGCAAGAUUAAAACCUCCAUAUUUUGGGAUAUUUUAUUCCGUAAACUAACAUUUGAUCAACAAAUUCCAUAAACCAGAAAAGUCACUAGCCUAACACCAGAUAAACCUCACACUGAAAUUUAAAAGUAUUUGCUUUAUAGAGCCAAUGUUACCAUCAUCAAACUCCAGUUGAGUGAGUGGUUGAGAGGCUAGAGCCAGUGUUUGAAUCGUCUAGAGUGCUCAAGACUACUGGAAAGAUUUCUAUUUUUGAGUUGUUGUUUUUUUUACCAGUAAGGUAAGAAUGUAUGAGUGUAACUAGCAGGCACCUUCUUGAGUUGGAAAGAGUCACUCAAGUUUAAUAGUAGAAGUUGAGUUUUUUGUUCAUUAUUUAUAGGGUGCCAAUGUUGAAGUUGUAAUACUGAACUCGAUCUUUCUACGCAGUGGCUUGGAGUGAGGUGUCUGACACUAGAUACUGUUCAGAUACAUUUUCUCUUUCUUAGUUAUUUGACACACUCAAAGUUUUAGUUUAAAUCUUAUGCUAGUAUAUUAUACUAAUAGUGUAUUAAUUGUGUUAGUUUAAUACAGUAAGGUAGUGCACAAUUUAGACCAUUGAAACCAGGUUAACUGUAACUUCACAGUUUAUUAGUGAUGGCCUUGCUAUGGGGUAUGAAGGUAAAAGUUAGAGAAAUAUGUGGCGUAACGGAAAGACGAAUAUGAUAGAUAUAAGAAAGAAGCAAAGGUGGAGGAAGAGGCUAGGUUUGAGAGGGGAGAAGUUCAGGCGUGAAGAGCACAAGAGGUGGAAAGAGAGGGAUGCAAGAGAGGCAAUAAGAAGAAAGAGGAGUAGAAACUGGCUUGGCUUAAAGAAAAGUCUGCACCAGAGGCAGGUGGGGCGGCAGGACAGACAGGUGUGAUAUAAGAAUGUCUUGGAUAGGCUA